GGCUUGUGGCUCAGCGGUAGAAUGCUCGCCUCGCACAUGUGAGACUUGAGUUUGAUCCUCAGCACCA
rnacentral:tRNA from 1 species